CGCUGGAAAGUCGCCCCCCUCGCGGGAUUCACGGGCGCGCCGACGGAGCAAGCCUUGUCAUCCCGGACGAUGCGAAGCGUCGAUCAGGGACGGGGCGGAAUCUCUCAGGCUUCAGGACAGCG
rnacentral:ncRNA from 2 species